rnacentral:sRNA from 1 species
GCAGCCCCCUGGGGCCCCGAGCUCCCACGCACAGUCCGCACAGAGGCCGGCCGGUUGCCCCUGCACGGAUACCUCUGCCAGUGGACGUAAGUGCGGCCCACACCAUGCCCGCCCGCCGCACCACCCUUGCCACCGUAACACUGUGCCUCCCGCCCACCCCCAGCCUGGUGACCUACCUGGACGUCCGGAGCUGCCUUGGGCACCUAGGCUACCUGGGCUACCCCACCCUUUGUGAGCAGGACUCCCAGGCCCAUGCCAUCACAGGUAGGUACCCACCCUCUCUGGGCCUGGGCCCAGCAUCCUGGCAGCCGCCCUAACCCGUGUCUAUCCUCACAGUCACCCGUGAGAAGAGGCUGGACCAGGAGAAGGGACAGACGCAGCGGAGCGUCCUCCUGUGCAAGGUGGUGGGGGCCCGUGGAGUGGGCAAGUCUGCCUUCCUGCAGGCCUUCCUCGGCCGCGGCCUGGAGCACCAGGACACGAGGGAGCAGCCUCCCGGCUAUGCCAUCGACACAGUGCAGGUCAACGGGCAGGAGAAGUACUUGAUCGUGAGUGCUGGGGCGGCGCGGCCUGUGCCGGAGGGUGGACCCGGGGACACCCAGGCCUGCCUAGCAGAUCUGGCCCAGCAUGGCCCUAGGGGGACUGAGCCCCAGGGACUCUUCCUAAGGCCACUGUCUGUCCCAGCUCUGUGAGGUGGGCACAGAUGGUCUGCUGGCCACAUCGCUGGACGCCGCCUGUGACGUUGCCUGCUUGAUGUUUGAUGGCAGUGACCCAAAGUCCUUUGCACAUUGUGCCAGCG